AUUAUUGAAGACAGGAAAUGGUACAUCCUUGAACCUGAGGGGAUGAAGCUCCGGCAAUGGAUCCAACAGCUGAGAAUCUGGAAUUACAGUGAGUAAUUAAUGCAGACUUAGUGAAAGAUAGCGCAUAAUGGAAGAAAAUGAUAUAGGUUAUACCAAUUAUGGAUAAUAUAUCUUGGUCGUUUUUAUACGUUUACUUGUUGGAAAUAUAUUAUAUCUCAAAAAGAAUACAAAUUAUUAUUUCUUCCUCUAACGCCUGCUAUUAAUUUUGGUCAAAAAAUAACUAUUAACCAAAUGUUUCUAACAAUUCAAUUUGAUCAAAUAAAUGGUCUCAAUAGCCAACUGCCUUUAUGGCUUUUAUUACUCUUAAAUUUUGGGACAUUGGCAGAUGUUCAGAUCGGUAGACCUCAAUUCUAUAUACCUAUAUGUAUGUAUGUAUGUGUGUGUAUAUAUAUAUAUAUAUAUCCUAGUCCUUGUCCUUUGUGAUACAUCUCUAAGACAAAUAAAGUGAAAUCUUUCCUCCGAUAUUCUACUGUGCUGAAUUUUCUUUUAUUUAAUCUUUGUUAGUUUAUGUGCUCAUAGCUUUAUAUUAGAAGAGUUUGUUAUCUUCGGAGAUACACCUACACAAGGUAAAAUAUCCUUAAGGACAAUGUUUUACAUGCCUCAAACUUUAAAGAAUUCUGUACAGAUUUCGUGAUCAAAUAUUCUUCAUGAGAUUUUCAACAUAUUUUUGGUCCUAUGCUUUCUAGGAGCCUUUUGGCCCUGUUACUUCUAGUAUUUUUCAUUUCUAUGUUUAUUUUUGAUAAUGCUGGCCUGAGAUGAAUGUAAAUAGGGAAAAUGAUCUAUAGGGAUUCAUAUAGCCGAUCCUAACUUGUUCAAGUCUAAAGCAUAGUUCUUGUUAUGAUAUUGAAUUCAAAAUGAUUUUUCAUAGUUAAGCACAGUUUUCUUUGAUCCAGAGAUGUGUUUGUUCACAUACCUUCAAAAGGAAAAUAUUUUUCUGGUUGCUGCAAAAUGGUGAUCAUAGAGUGCAUGUAUGCAGCACUGAGAAUGCACAGAACAAUGCUGGGAAGCCUCAGCUGAGUGGCUACAUCAUCCACGUAGAACAUGAUGUUGUCAUAAAUGAUACAAGCAAGCUGAUCACCUUGCAAAUUUUCUUCCUCUUCC
rnacentral:lncRNA from 1 species